rnacentral:rRNA from 1 species
AAAGCGAUUCAGCGGGUUACGAUUGACGGAGCGAAGCGACGUCAAAGCGUAUACAAAGUCGAGUCGGUUUAAGGAUACGUUCGUUGGGUAGGGGAGCGUUCUGUAAGCCUGUGAAGGUGUGUCGUGAGGCAUGCUGGAGGUAUCAGAAGUGCGAAUGCUGACAUAAGUAACGAUAAAGCGGGUGAAAAGCCCGCUCGCCGGAAGACCAAGGGUUCCUGUCCAACGUUAAUCGGGGCAGGGUGAGUCGACCCCUAAGGCGAGGCCGAAAGGCGUAGUCGAUGGGAAACGGGUUAAUAUUCCCGUACUUGGUGUUACUGCGAAGGGGGGACGGAGAAGGCUAUGUUGGCCGGGCGACGGUUGUCCCGGUUUAAGCGUGUAGGUGUGUGUUCCAGGUAAAUCCGGUUCACUUUAACACUGAGGCGUGAUGACGAGGCACUACGGUGCUGAAGCAACAAAUGCCCUGCUUCCAGGAAAAGCCUCUAAGCAUCAGGUAACAUCAAAUCGUACCCCAAACCGACACAGGUGGUCAGGUAGAGAAUACCAAGGCGCUUGAGAGAACUCGGGUGAAGGAACUAGGCAAAAUGGUGCCGUAACUUCGGGAGAAGGCACGCUGACAUGUAGGUGAAGUGAUUUACUCAUGGAGCUGAAGUCAGUCGAAGAUACCAGCUGGCUGCAACUGUUUAUUAAAAACACAGCACUGUGCAAACACGAAAGUGGACGUAUACGGUGUGACGCCUGCCCGGUGCCGGAAGGUUAAUUGAUGGGGUCAGCGCAAGCGAAGCUCCUGAUCGAAGCCCCGGUAAACGGCGGCCGUAACUAUAACGGUCCUAAGGUAGCGAAAUUCCUUGUCGGGUAAGUUCCGACCUGCACGAAUGGCGUAAUGAUGGCCAGGCUGUCUCCACCCGAGACUCAGUGAAAUUGAACUCGCUGUGAAGAUGCAGUGUACCCGCGGCAAGACGGAAAGACCCCGUGAACCUUUACUAUAGCUUGACACUGAACAUUGAGCCUUGAUGUGUAG